GUCAUCAUCUGGACCUUCAUCACAUAGGAAAGCAAUUCCUGAAACACACAAAAACGAACUCAUCAGCACGGUAAUGAAGGCGUGGGACGAUAUUUUCAAGAUUAACUGGCCCAACUGCACCCCAGAUGAUUUGAGGAAGCAAACUAAAAAGAGCAUUGGCCAAGAAUUCAAUAACCACCGUUAAAUAAUA